CCUGCAUGAUGACAAGCAAAUGCUGACUAAUGUGAAGAUCUUAUUAGCUCUAUCUGAUGCU
rnacentral:snoRNA from 1 species